AGAUUAAGUUAUUAAGGGCGCACGGUGGAUGCCUUGGCACUAGAAGCCGAUGAAGGACGUUACUAACGACGAUAUGCUUUGGGUAGCUGUAAGUAAGCGUUGAUCCAGAGAUUUCCGAAUGAGGGAACCCAGCAUGAGUUAUGUCAUGUUAUCGACAUGUGAAUUCAUAGCAUGUCAGAAGGCAGACCCGGAGAACUGAAACAUCUUAGUACCCGGAGGAAGAGAAAGAAAAAUCGAUUCCCUGAGUAGCGGCGAGCGAAACGGGAAGAGCCCAAACCAACAAGCUUGCUUGUUGGGGUUGUAGGACACUCUAUACGGAGUUACAAAAGAACAUGUUAGACGAAUCAUCUGGAAAGAUGAAUCAAAGAAGGUAAUAAUCCUGUAGUCGAAAACAUAUUCUCUCUUGAGUGGAUCCUGAGUACGACGGAGCACGUGAAAUUCCGUCGGAAUCUGGGAGGACCAUCUCCUAAGGCUAAAUACUCUCUAGUGACCGAUAGUGAACCAGUACCGUGAGGGAAAGGUGAAAAGUACCCCGGAAGGGGAGUGAAAGAGAACUUGAAACCGUGUGCUUACAAGUAGUCAGAGCCCGUUAAUGGGUGAUGGCGUGCCUUUUGUAGAAUGAACCGGCGAGUUACGAUCUGAUGCAAGGUUAAGCAGCAAAUGUGGAGCCGCAGCGAAAGCGAGUCUGAAUAGGGCGUUGAGUAUUUGGUCGUAGACCCGAAACCAGGUGAUCUACCCUUGGUCAGGUUGAAGUUCAGGUAACACUGAAUGGAGGACCGAACCGACUUACGUUGAAAAGUGAGCGGAUGAACUGAGGGUAGCGGAGAAAUUCCAAUCGAACUUGGAGAUAGCUGGUUCUCUCCGAAAUAGCUUUAGGGCUAGCCUCAAGUGAUGAUUAUUGGAGGUAGAGCACUGUUUGGACGAGGGGCCCCUCUCGGGUUACCGAAUUCAGACAAACUCCGAAUGCCAAUUAAUUUAACUUGGGAGUCAGAACAUGGGUGAUAAGGUCCGUGUUCGAAAGGGAAACAGCCCAGACCACCAGCUAAGGUCCCAAAAUAUAUGUUAAGUGGAAAAGGAUGUGGCGUUGCCCAGACAACUAGGAUGUUGGCUUAGAAGCAGCCAUCAUUUAAAGAGUGCGUAAUAGCUCACUAGUCGAGUGACACUGCGCCGAAAAUGUACCGGGGCUAAACAUAUUACCGAAGCUGUGGAUUGUCCUUUGGACAAUGGUAGGAGAGCGUUCUAAGGGCGUCGAAGCAUGAUCGCAAGGACAUGUGGAGCGCUUAGAAGUGAGAAUGCCGGUGUGAGUAGCGAAAGACGGGUGAGAAUCCCGUCCACCGAUUGACUAAGGUUUCCAGAGGAAGGCUCGUCCGCUCUGGGUUAGUCGGGUCCUAAGCUGAGGCCGACAGGCGUAGGCGAUGGAUAACAGGUUGAUAUUCCUGUACCACCUAGUAUCGUUUUAAUCGAUGGGGGGACGCAGUAGGAUAGGCGAAGCGUGCUGUUGGAGUGCACGUCCAAGCAGUAAGGCUGAGUGUUAGGCAAAUCCGGCACUCAUAAGGCUGAGCUGUGAUGGGGAGAGGAAAUUGUUUCCUCGAGUCGUUGAUUUCACACUGCCGAGAAAAGCCUCUAGAUAGAUAACAGGUGCCCGUACCGCAAACCGACACAGGUAGUCAAGAUGAGAAUUCUAAGGUGAGCGAGCGAACUCUCGUUAAGGAACUCGGCAAAAUGACCCCGUAACUUCGGGAGAAGGGGUGCUCUUUAGGGUUCACGCCCAGAAGAGCCGCAGUGAAUAGGCCCAAGCGACUGUUUAUCAAAAACACAGGUCUCUGCUAAACCGUAAGGUGAUGUAUAGGGGCUGACGCCUGCCCGGUGCUGGAAGGUUAAGAGGAGUGGUUAGCUUCUGCGAAGCUACGAAUCGAAGCCCCAGUAAACGGCGGCCGUAACUAUAACGGUCCUAAGGUAGCGAAAUUCCUUGUCGGGUAAGUUCCGACCCGCACGAAAGGCGUAACGAUUUGGGCACUGUCUCAACGAGAGACUCGGUGAAAUCAUAGUACCUGUGAAGAUGCAGGUUACCCGCGACAGGACGGAAAGACCCCGUGGAGCUUUACUGUAGCCUGAUAUUGAAAUUCGGCACAGCUUGUACAGGAUAGGUAGGAGCCUUUGAAACGUGAGCGCUAGCUUACGUGGAGGCGUUGGUGGGAUACUACCCUAGCUGUGUUGGCUUUCUAACCCGCACCACUUAUCGUGGUGGGAGACAGUGUCAGGCGGGCAGUUUGACUGGGGCGGUCGCCUCCUAAAAGGUAACGGAGGCGCUCAAAGGUUCCCUCAGAAUGGUUGGAAAUCAUUCAUAGAGUGUAAAGGCAUAAGGGAGCUUGACUGCGAGACCUACAAGUCGAGCAGGGUCGAAAGACGGACUUAGUGAUCCGGUGGUUCCGCAUGGAAGGGCCAUCGCUCAACGGAUAAAAGCUACCCCGGGGAUAACAGGCUUAUCUCCCCCAAGAGUUCACAUCGACGGGGAGGUUUGGCACCUCGAUGUCGGCUCAUCGCAUCCUGGGGCUGUAGUCGGUCCCAAGGGUUGGGCUGUUCGCCCAUUAAAGCGGUACGCGAGCUGGGUUCAGAACGUCGUGAGACAGUUCGGUCCCUAUCCGUCGUGGGCGUAGGAAAUUUGAGAGGAGCUGUCCUUAGUACGAGAGGACCGGGAUGGACAUACCUCUGGUGUACCAGUUGUCGUGCCAACGGCAUAGCUGGGUAGCUAUGUAUGGACGGGAUAAGUGCUGAAAGCAUCUAAGCAUGAAGCCCCCCUCAAGAUGAGAUUUCCCAACUUCGGUUAUAAGAUCCCUCGAAGAUGACGAGGUUAAUAGGUUCGAGGUGGAAGCGUGGUGACACGUGGAGCUGACGAAUACUAAUCGAUCGAAGACUUAAUCAAUUUUUAAA
rnacentral:rRNA from 1 species